GAGUGACCGUGGGGACGGGACGGAGGCCUCUUUCCUGGUGACCCCGGGGACCGGCCCUCACCCUGUGGGUCUGCCUCCCUGGACCACAGGUCCUGGCACUCCCGGUCCUGGCUGGCCGGAAGCUCAGAGCUCUGUCCUAGGGACGGGCGGCGUGCUGGUCUCUGCGGGCUGUCAACACCGUGUGUCUCAUCUCAUCUUUGGUUGUGCAUCUGUUCGACGCCAACUAGGGCAUUCAUGUUUGAGCACUGCCCACCCGUCCCAGCGGGCAGCCUCCGUCCUUCAGCGCUGGACCUCAGUGGUGUGUGCAGGAGUGAAUCCCCCAUGACUGGGGGAGAUCUGCCCCACGCCCGAGCCCAGGGCAGUGCCUGGGCAGACGCAGCGGGGACUGUCCCCUGUCCUUCUCCGUGUGUGGCCCUUGCCCUACACUUCUGGGCCUGCUCUUCUGUCUUCGGGUAUGCAGGCUGCCCAUCUGCUCUCACCGGGCUAGAAAUCUUCGGUGUGUUUGCCAUCUGCCAAUCUAGGCUGGGUCCCCUCCUGUAGAGACAAGUCUCAACACUCUGGAGUUGUCUGAAACUCCAGCUGCAAACUCUCACCUGAGGCUGUAACGGAAGGAACGCCCCGUGAUUGAGACACAGAGAUGGCGCAGCGGACCUCUGCCUCACCCCGGUCUCCAGCUCCAGCAGCUUUUCCGCUUGAGACACCCACUUCAGCCAGACCUGGCACUGCACCCACACUUGACACCCCUGUGCACAGAGAAUGCAUCUGCCCCCCUAGAAGCCUUUGCCUGUAUCCGUGUCCGGCACAGCCCACCGAACUCCGCAGCUCUUUAACCUGUUCUUCGCCUUGCCUAUGUCUGUCACUGGAUAAAGCACGAUGUGUGAUCUGAGAGUUCAUGUUAGUUGUUAAAGCUGUGGUGUCAGUGGCCCCGGCUAGUAAGUGGACUCAGGGGUGCUCGCCAAAUUAAAGCCAAUGAGCUGGAUGCAAGGGCCAAUUUACUGUUGCUUAACCAGUUCUGACUGUGUGGAGACACACAGUGUGUCUGUUUCUGACCUAGCUUGCUCAUGACAACCACACCCUGGUACUGCCUUGAUUGUCCCAAAGGCUUGGCUGUGAAGGCCAAAGGAAGUCCGGCCGCUUGUGAUGUUCUCUCUGUGGUGGUGUGUGCGAGCUUCCUUUCAAAGCCGUGGAGUAGUCCAUCCCCAGACGUGGCACUUCCGUUCUGCCCCUCCCCCGAUGGACAGCUUCCACCGUUGGCACUGUUUCCUCCUACUCCUACUCGCGUGACAAUAAAUUGAGA